GAUGCCGGGGGCUGGGCGGGUCCCCAGGGAUGGAUGCAGGAUGGGGGGUGCCCGGGGGACUAGGCAGGGAUGAUGCCCGGGGGCCGGAUGCCGGGGGCUGGGCGGGUCCCAGGGAAGGAUGCGGGGGGGGCAUGGGCGGCUCCCCAGGGAUGGAUGCGGGAUGCGGGGGGGACUAGGCAGGGAUGAUGCCCGGGGGCCGGAUGCCGGGGGCUGGGCGGGUCCCAGGGAAGGAUGCGGGGGGGGCAUGGGCGGCUCCCCAGGGAUGGAUGCGGGAUGCGGGGUACAAGGGGGACUGGGCAGGGAUGAUGCCCGGGGGCCGGAUGCCGGGUGCUGGGCCGGUC